rnacentral:rRNA from 1 species
UGCCAGCAGCCGCGGUAAGACGGAGGGGGUUAGCGUCGUUCGGGAAUUACUGGGCGUAAAGCGCACGUAGGCGGAUUAGAAAGUUAGAGGUGAAAUCCCGGGGCUCAACCCCGGAACUGCCUUUAAAACUACUAGUCUAGAGUUCGAGAGAGGUGAGUGGAAUUCCGAGUGUAGAGGUGAAAUUCGUAGAUAUUCGGAGGAACACCAGUGGCGAAGGCGGCUCACUGGCUCGAUACUGACACUCAGAGACGAAAGCUAGGGUAGCAAAUGGGAUUAGAUA